UACGUAGGGGGCAAGCGUUGUCCGGAAUCAUUGGGCGUAAAGCGCGUGUAGGCGGCCCGGUAAGUCCGCUGUGAAAGUCCAGGGCUCAACCCUGGGAUGCCGGUGGAUACUGUCGGGCUAGAGUCCGGAAGAGGCGAGUGGAAUUCCUGGUGUAGCGGUGGAAUGCGCAGAUAUCAGGAGGAACACCGAUGGCGAAGGCAGCUCCGCUGGGACGGUACUGACGCUGAGGCGCGAAAGCGUGGGGAGCGAACAGG
rnacentral:rRNA from 1 species